GCCCGCUCAGAAACUUAAAGGAAGUUGGACGGGGAGCACUACGAACGGGUGGAGCCUGCGGUUUAAUUGGAUUCAACGCCGGAAAUCUCACCGGGGCGACAGCAAUAUGAAGGUCAGGCUGAAGACCUUACCCGAUUAGCUGAGAGGUGGUGCAUGGCCGUCGUCAGUUCGUACUGUGAAGCAUCCUGUUAAGUCAGGCAACGAGCGAGACCCACGUCCACAGUUGCCAGCAUACCCUCCGGGGUGAUGGGUACACUGUGGAGACCGCCGCUGCUAAAGCGGAGGAAGGAGUGGGCAACGGUAGGUCAGUAUGCCCCGAAUCUCCCGGGCUACACGCGGGCUACAAUGGUUGGUACAAUGGGCAUCUACCCCGAAAGGGGAAGGAAAUCUCUUAAAGCCAAUCGUAGUUCGGAUUGAGGGCUGCAACUCGCCCUCAUGAAGCUGGAAUCCGUAGUAAUCGCGUUUCAACAGAACGCGGUGAAUACGUCCCUGCUCCUU
rnacentral:rRNA from 1 species